rnacentral:lncRNA from 1 species
GUGAUCCUGCAAGUAAAAUCCCCGCGCUGCAGCAUCGCGGAAAAUGGGAUUCGCAUAAUUUGAAAUUUGAGGAAAAUCUCUAAAUACUUUAAUUUUGAUAGAAACUAUUUCCACUGCUGACAUGUGUCUACACCUAUAAUUUCAGUUGAUAAAUUGCUGUAAUUUCUCCUCCAUUUCAUGUUCUUUCGAACAUUAAUUGUCAGUUGCAGGGAAGGAACUUCUAAACUGAAAGCUGGCAAGACUCAGCAGAAAAAAAAUAUCAAAAGCUGCUUCUGCCGCCCCAGCUUCACUCAGGCCCUGGCUGCUCCUUCACCGUUCUACACUGCUGCCUCCUAGAACCACUGAGUCUGCAACCAGCCGUGAGGCGUGAGGCUCACUCGGAAGCUCCCAGAACCUGGAGGCUGCCCUCACUCAACACUUGAACAAGCUAGGAACCAGGUUCAAUGAAACACCUGCCCGCCCAGCACACCAGGCCCAAAAGCAAGCAAGCAAGCAAACAAACAAACAAACAAAAUCAAAUCAGGCCUUCACAACUCCCCAAAUCAUGUGUGAAUUUCUACAGAGCAGAAGCCAAAAAUAUAUGUUAUCUAACUGGGUCCUAUUUACAUAUAUUUUUAUGGCUGCUCUAAAAAAUUAUCACAAACAUAGUAGCUUUACCCCGUUACCCCUGAUGUGAUUAUUACACAUUGGAUGUCUGUAUCAAAAUAUCUCAUGGACCCCAUAAAUAGCGACACCCUCUAUGUACUCAUGACAAUUUUUUAAAAAAGAACACUUACACUUUC